rnacentral:rRNA from 1 species
GCCUUCGACCAAAUCACUCAAACACAUCCAAUCACGACAGAUCUUGGACGAUGAGGAGGAUUGAGCCUAGAUAAUUACUUGAAUGGGUGACCACGAAGCAUGACAGGUUGCUAUAGGCA